rnacentral:lncRNA from 1 species
AUCACUGCCUGUAAGUGCCCUUUGUUGGCAACUCAGAAGCUAGUAAUAAUAAUUACAAUUCUAGGAGUAUCUCCAUACUGCGUCACUACAAAAAAGAAUAGAAGCUUUGCGAUCCGAAGAAAUUGUUUUCGCUGACGGCUGUUUCACUUUUUUUUCUUUCAGUAUUAUUGGAGGAGAAGAACAAUCCUAGAAAACCUUUACUGAAAGAGGCUAAUAUUGGUUCCAUCAUCAUAGAAAUCCUUUUUAUGGUCUCGGAAACCAAAAGAACAGUUACGUUUCCAUUCUCCGAAAUGUUUCUGACAUCUUUUGUGAUGGGAGGUUGUUUAAUUUUAGAGUCAUUAGUUUUAUUUCAUUGGUGCCAAAAUAUGGGCCUAGGACCUUUAGGUGUUACUGGCUUUCAAUGGGAGGUCAUGUGAGUUAUUAUGUCCUAUUUUAUUGAUUUGAGUUCCAAUUAAAUUUCAGCUACUCCUUAGAUUUUUCAAAACUUUAAUCAACUGUUUGAGCCUGGAACGCAUUGUCAAGCUUGUAUUGAUUAAGUUUACGCAAAAUAAGUUUACGCUCUUUCAGAGUGUGAUAGAAGAUCAGCUGUCCCUCGGUUUAGCAUUGCAAAAAAAUUCAGGAAUUAAGGGGGCAAAUCGUCUGCCCUACUCUAAAAAAGUGUAAAAUUACUUGGCGUGGAUUCUGGUUGGCCCACAAAGAAUCCACCAUCAUUUUUUAUCUAAUUCUUAGAAUCAAAUCAACAAAAAUCUUUUUUUUAGUUUUCUAUCCAUCAUCAACCGAGAAACUCCUUAAAACAGCAUGGUGGGACUGUAGAGACAGAUAUCUAUAUAUCGAUGUCCAAGGUUAAAACCUUGUAUCUAUGUUUACAACAUUGCAGACUUCAUGUCAUACUUUAGUUUCGCUUUGGAAAACCAGUCAACAUAAUUUCUUCAAAACUUCCUUGUUUUUUUUGCCCUCUGUCAGCAGAAUAUAUUCUGCAUGAAUUUCAAUCUCCUAAGUUGGCAAGCUCCUGGCAAAGAAAAAAAAUAGGAGUUUGAAAUUUUGAAAACAUGGCAAUUAAGAUUUGUGGUUUUGCACUUUGGCCAUCGCUAUGGAGCCCUCUUUUUCUUUUUCGUACAAGUAAAUAAAUGAUGUGUAGCAUACACAAUUUUAAGAGGAGGGGCAGAACUGUCUUUCUUUUUUUUUUUAAAAAAAAGAAAAAAUCCUGUGAUUAUUACACUGCGUGCCCUAUACAUUGACUCAGAUAAGAAUGUCAGUUCAACACAUUUAACCAAUUUCCUGUGAUCAAGAACUAAAACACAGGCUGAAA